rnacentral:rRNA from 1 species
CCCUUAGAUGUUCUGGGCCGCACGCGUGCUACACUGAACGGUUCAAUGGGUAAGGUAGUGCGAAAGCAUGACCUAAUCUCGAAAUCCGUUCGUGCUGGGGAUAGAAGCUUGCAAUUAUCCUUCUUGAACGAGGAAUACCUUGUAAGCGUGAGUCAUCAUCUCACGCUGAAUACGUCCCUGCCCUUUGUACACCCCGCCCGUCGCUCCUACCGAUUGAGUGUUCCGGUGAGGCUUUGGGAGAAUGGCCUCAACAUGAGUUUAUCGUGUUUUGCCGUUUGAACUUAGUCAAACCUUAUCACUUAGAGGAAGGAGAAGUCGUAACA